UGAGAUGUGCCGAUUUUAUAGUUAAAGAACUGAUGGUAAUUGGUCAUGAGUGUGCUGGGAUCAUAGAAGAAGUUGGUAGUCAGGUACAGAGUUUGGUGCCUGGUGCCCGUGUGGCGAUCGAGCCUGGGAUCAGCUGUUGGCGUUGUGACCAUUGCAAACUUGGUCGAUAUAAUCUUUGCCCUGAGAUGAAGUGUUUUGCUACUCCACCAGUUCAUGGAUCCUUGGCUAAUCAGAAAAACGCGACCGAUGUCGGUGCAAUUGCGGUUGUGAUAUUGUUGCGGACACUGCAAAAACCUUUAUAUUGCAAUCGCAAUUGCGGUUUCUGACCGCAAUUUAAAACCAUUGAUCUUUGUCCAAAUGGAAGUUUACUUUUCAUUCCUAAAUAUAAGAAAUGUCGAGGAACGAUGACAGUAUGAAGUUAAAAUUCGCAUUCGCAUACAAAGAACAUUGAUGUGCUUAGGCUAUUCAUACUUGUGCAAUUAAGUUUUCGGAAGUGGCUAUAGCACUGUUGUGCAUUUGUUGAUGGAUUUCUUGGGGGAUACCAAUGUCUGUCUGCUAUGGAUGUUGUUGUUUUGGUGCGAGAUAUUAUUGAGACUAACCCGAAGCUGUAUGUUUCUAUUAUUAUCACUAGGCUUUUGGAUACUUUUUAUUAAAUCCAUGCUGCAAGGGUUUGUUCUUGUGCUCUGUGGAUAAUUGGCUAGUAUUGUCCAUCUCUUUCGGAGGUUGAGAGUGGAAUUGCAACGAUUAAGCAGUGUCUCUUGGUGACAUUACCUUUUACACCAUCUAUGAGGAUGGAGGAGGAGGUUAGGAGACAUCGAAAGUCGUGCAGCAGGUGAACUCGACCACUGUGUCUUCUAGGAGACUCGAGAUUCUUGCAGAUGGGACCUAUGCUACCCAAAGUCCUGCUCUCGAGACUGCCGUGUCACCUCCUACCCUUGUACAUUGCUUGUUUUCUUCUAUUGGGAACUUGAGAUCAUUGAUGCUUUCAGGUGAUUUCUUCCUCGGGGAAGUUGUCACAUGCACCCUGACAAAGCUUAUCUUAAGGUUGGAAGUGGUCCAUACCUCAAAAGAUUAAGUUAAGAAGGCAACUUCUGAUAGGACCCAUUAUGAGAAAGUCCCAAAUAGAUAGGGGGAGUACUAUGCUGGCAUGUUAGUUUGAGAGAGUGAGAGCAUAUACAUGUGAGAGGUAGUAUAUAAGGUGUGUGAGAGGGAUAGUGGGGGGUUAUUCAGUAUCAUAUUGUAUUAGAUCCUUAGGGCUGGGCAAAGGGAGGGUUCUUUCUUCAUUUGAGUAGCUUUUCUCUGGGAUUAUAACGAUUCAAUCUCUGUAAUAGUUUCUUUUUAUCAUUAAUAAUACUUUUCUCUUCUUUCUUGAA